rnacentral:rRNA from 1 species
CGGGACGGGUGAGUAACGCGUGGGUAACCUGCCUCAUACAGGGGGAUAACAGUUGGAAACGGCUGCUAAUACCGCAUAAGCGCACAGUAUCGCAUGAUACAGUGUGAAAAACUCCGGUGGUACAAGAUGGACCCGCGUCUGAUUAGCUAGUUGGUAAGGUAAGGGCUUACCAAGGCGACGAUCAGUAGCCGACCUGAGAGGGUGACCGGCCACAUUGGGACUGAGACACGGCCCAA